UACGGGGGGAGCAAGCGUUGUUCGGAUUUACUGGGCGUAAAGGGCGCGUAGGCGGUCAGCACAAGUCAGUUGUGAAAUCUCCGGGCUUAACUCGGAAAGGUCAACUGAUACUGUGCGACUAGAGUGCGGAAGGGGCAACUGGAAUUCUCGGUGUAGCGGUGAAAUGCGUAGAUAUCGCUUGGAACGCCAAAGGUGAAAACAGGUUGCUGGGAAUGUGCCGACGCUGAGACACGAAAGCCAGGGGAGCAAACGGG
rnacentral:rRNA from 1 species